UACAGAGGGGGCAAGCGUUGUUCGGAAUUACUGGGCGUAAAGGGCGCGUAGGCGGCCGCCUAAGUCAGACGUGAAAUCCCUCGGCUUAACCGGGGAACUGCGUCUGAUACUGGGUGGCUUGAAUCCGGGAGAGGGAUGCGGAAUUCCAGGUGUAGCGGUGAAAUGCGUAGAUAUCUGGAGGAACACCGGUGGCGAAGGCGGCAUCCUGGACCGGCAUUGACGCUGAGGAGCGAAAGCCAGGGGAGCAAACGGG
rnacentral:rRNA from 1 species